rnacentral:tRNA from 1 species
AGGGCUAUAGCUCAGUUAGGUAGAGCACCUCGUUUUAAUAAUAAGUUUGAUCUGUUUUACCGAGAAGGUCUACGGUUCGAGUCCGUAUAGCCCUA